GCCAGCGUAGCUUCAAUUGGCAGAGCAUCGCAUUCGUAAUGCGGAGGUUGCGAGUUCAAAUCUCGCCGCUGGCU
rnacentral:tRNA from 1 species